UACAGAGGGGGCAAGCGUUGUUCGGAAUUACUGGGCGUAAAGGGCGCGUAGGCGGCCCUCUAAGUCGGACGUGAAAUCCCCAGGCUCAACCUGGGAACUGCGUCCGAUACUGGAUGGCUUGAAUUCGGGAGAGGGAUGCAGAAUUCCAGGUGUAGCGGUGAAAUGCGUAGAUAUCUGGAGGAACACCGGUGGCGAAGGCGGCAUUCUGGACCGAUAUUGACGCUGAGGAGCGAAAGCCAGGGGAGCAAACGGG
rnacentral:rRNA from 1 species